rnacentral:misc_RNA from 1 species
AAAGUCGUAACAAGGUCUCCGUUGGUGAACCAGCGGAGGGAUCAUUACUGAGUGUAAAAACUCCCAAACCCAUUGUGAACAUACCUCUGUUGCUUCGGCGGAUGCGCCCCGGGCGCGCCCUCACAGGCGUGCCCCGGAAUCAGGCGCCCGCCGGGGGACCGAAACUCUUGUCUUCCUAGAGAAUCUCUGAGUGUGAUUUUAAAUCAAAUCAAAACUUUCAACAACGGAUCUCUUGGCUCUA